AGCCUUCUGUAUCCGUGCUGAUAUUUCGUCAUACACCAGACCACAAGGGCUGAUGAGACUCCCAUUAUUCAGUAGUCU
rnacentral:pre_miRNA from 1 species